UCUUGGAAAAGACUCUUGGGACUAGCAGUGGAAUCCUUGCUAUUGAUUGGCUGGUUAAAUAGAGGACUAUUAGCUUCAGACAGGCUAGAUUGAUUGUAAGGCAGCAGCAGGAGCUGAGACUCAGAGCUGAGUGAGCGUCAGGGUGAAAAGGAGAGAGAGAGGGGAACGCGAGGUGGAGAGGGAGGCAGUGCACGUUCGUUCCCUAGCAUCGCUCUGUGACUGCCGGUGCUGAAUAUCUUGCUCCGUAGCUGCCCCAGUCAACAACUUACUGAGGUGCCUUUUCUUUUACAAGAGGAUGUCUGCUUUGAGCCCCAGCAAGAAAUAGCAGACUUCACCUUGGAAUAGUUCGUCUCACUCCUGCGUCAUUAAAGAGGAUCUUGAAAAGGAAACAAAAAUCAAGUCUCCCUUCCAGCCCCACUUUGUUCCAGAAUUGAACAGAAACAGUUUUGUGCUCCAGCUUGCUUUCUAUGAGGUUCUGCAAAGGAAAUACUAGAGGGAAGGUAGAAGGCAGGAGGACGGAAAACGACCUUUCCCUUUUCCUUUUACUGGCUGCUCAUCUCAGCAUUACCUCACAGUGCUCUUCACUUCAGCAGCGGCAGUUGAUUCAACUAGCAUUUGCUUCCUGUUUCCAGCUGUUUCCAGUACUCACAGUACUAUCCUCAUUGUGCCUCCUCAACAGUUACAGCACCAGUGAUAAAUGAUGAACUGAACCAGGAAGAGUAGAAAGAUCAAGGUCGUCCGAGGUUGUGGCAUGUGGGACGCUGCCUCAGCGUGGUCUGAUGAGCAGUGCCAUGUCCGCGCCCAGGAUUCGAACCAACGAAACACUGGGCCGCCUGCAGCGGAGCGCGCGAACUUAACCACUCGGCCACGGGGCCAGCCCCCACACGGUUAUCUCUUACAUGAUUCUCCUGUAAGGUGAAGGAACAAAAGCAAAAAGAAGCAAAUGGGACUAUAUGAAACUAAAAAGCUUCUGCACGACAAAGGAAACCACCAACAAUGAAAGGACAACUUACUGAAUGGGAGAAGAUAUUUGCAAAUCAUAUAUCAGAUAAAGGGUUAACAUCCAAAAUAUGUAAAGAACUCAUGCAACUCAACAAUAAAACAAAUAAAUAACUCGAUUAAAAAAUGGACAGAAGAUCUGAAUAGACAUAUUUCCAAAGGAAAUAUACAGAUAGGCAACAGGCACAUGAAAAGAUGUUCAGCAUCACUAACUACCAGGGAAAUGCAAAUCAAAACUACAAUCAGACAUCACCUCACACCCAUUAGGAUGGCUAUUAUCAUAUAGCGUUAUAUUUUACUUUUAAUUUAAAAACUAGAUCAGUGAAAUGGCUUAUUUUCACCUGUCUUAAAAGAAAAGAAAAAAUAUUUCUCAGUUCACCUCUUGCCCUAGAUAAAUAAAAGGAAAAAGAAAUAGAUAAUCUUUGAUGUUAUCUCUAUCACUGGCAUGAAUUGAAUCUGUGGUGGUGAAGGAUGAUACUGAUACUUCCACUGAUCCUUAGUUUUGUCUUAAAAAAUUAGUGCAGUCAUGCACCACUUAACAAUGGGGGCACAUUCUGAGAAACGUUAGGUCGGUUAGGCGAUUUCACCGUUGUGCGAACAUCAGAGAGUGCACAUACACAAGCCUAGAUGGUAUAGCCCGCUACACACCUGGGCUAUAUGGCACUAAU
ensembl:lncRNA